GCCGCGGUGGUUUAGCCCGGUCAAGCGCAGGCACCGAAAGAAUGCGGGCCUUUCGAGCCCGUGACCCGGGUUCAAAUCCCGGCCGCGGCACUA
rnacentral:tRNA from 6 species